rnacentral:rRNA from 1 species
AUGAACGCUGGCGGCGUGCCUAAUACAUGCCAGUCGAGCGAACAGACGAGGAGCUUGCUCCUCUGACGUUAGCGGCGGACGGGUGAGUAACACGUGGAUAACCUACCUAUAAGACUGGGAUAACUUCGGGAAACCGGAGCUAAUACCGGAUAAUAUAUUGAACCGCAUGGUUCAAUAGUGAAAGACGGUUUAGCUGUCACUUAUAGAUGGAUCCGCGCCGCAUUAGCUAGUUGGUAAGGUAACGGCUUACCAAGGCGACGAUGCGUAGCCGACCUGAGAGGGUGAUCGGCCACACUGGAACUGAGACACGGUCCAGACUCCUACGGGAGGCAGCAGUAGGGAAUCUUCCGCAAUGGGCGAAAGCCUGACGGAGCAACGCCGCGUGAGUGAUGAAGGUCUUCGGAUCGUAAAACUCUGUUAUUAGGGAAGAACAAAUGUGUAAGUAACUAUGCACGUCUUGACGGUACCUAAUCAGAAAGCCACGGCUAACUACGUG